GGUGUGGCUGGUUGUUGUGUUUUACACCCACAAGAAGGCCCUUCACUCAGCUGGAGUUUCCUUGGAAAAUGGGCCUGGCCGUGAGGGGUUGUGGAAGGGUGCCCUCGACGAGCAGGACAGUACCACGUCCCUUACUCAUCGGUCUGACUGACAUGACCAUCUUCAUAAAUGGGAUGGAGAGCUGCUGAGGGAGGCCCUGUCAUGGACUGGCCGAGACUGUCGAGCAUCGUGUUGAAAAUCUUCAGAGGUACUUCUUUCACUCCUGCAAUCUAUGUGUGACUGUUUCUACAAGCUUAGAUUCAGUGAUUGGUUGUUGUCGCAUUCGCGUGGUGUCCAUCUGAUCCUGAGGUUGCGAUAUACUUUGUCAACCAAUGGAUGCUGGCCGAGGUCGCCCAGGUCGAGAGCGCGCCCACCGGCCUGAAGCUCAUCCACGAGCCCUGAACUCUCAAGGUCAGCGACGUAGAUGGGUGUCCCUACCAGUGGCUCUUCAAGAGAGAGGAGCAAGAACAUGAUGGCGGCGGGGUGUUCGGUCUGUGGUCCACUUCGAUGCGGGACGUGGAGGCGUGAUCCGACAAAGCCUCCCGAUGCUCCAACCACUGCUUCCCAUCAACGCCAAGGAGCAGUAGCCU